AAAAAAAAAACUAUCAUUAUUUACUACAUGUAAAAAAAAGAACUAAGCAGGAGUAAGUCCUGGAAUCAUAUUUAUUUCAAGUUGAAGGUCGUUUAGACCAAAUUAUUUGGAUUUAAAAUGUCUGUUUGAUACAGUGUAAAGUUGGUCUGUGUUAUUAACAAGUUAAAUGUUGUUUUCAUCAAAAUUUUCAAAGGAGCACGGUUAAAAUAAUUGAACAUUAUAGCCAUAAGAAUUUAUCAUCAGUUUAUUUCA
rnacentral:lncRNA from 1 species